rnacentral:rRNA from 1 species
GAUGAACGCUGGCGGCGUGCCUAAUACAUGCAAGUCGAGCGAACGGACGAGAAGCUUGCUUCUCUGAUGUUAGCGGCGGACGGGUGGGUAACACGUGGAUAACCUACCUAUAAGACUGGGAUAACUUCGGGAAACCGGAGCUAAUACCGGAUAAUAUUUUGAACCGCAUGGUUCAAAAGUGAAAGACGGUCUUGCUGUCACUUAUAGAUGGAUCCGCGCUGCAUUAGCUAGUUGUUAAGGUAACGGCUUACCAAGGCAACGAUGCAUAGCCGACCUGAGAGGGGGAUCGGCCACACUGGAACUGAGACACGGUCCAGACUCCUACGGGAGGCAGCAGUAGGGAAUGUUCCGCAAUGGGCGAAAGCCUGACGGAGCAACGCCGCGUGAGUGAUGAAGGUCUUCGGAUCGUAAAACUCUGUUAUUAGGGAAGAACAUAUGUGUAAGUAACUGUGCACAUCUUGACGGUACCUAAUCAGAAAGCCACGGCUAACUACGUG